UUCUGGGAUAAGGAAUGUGUAUAUCUUGUUAAUCUGAUGAUUUUAUGAGGAGAAACCCUCAAAUUCACUCUUACUCUUUAUGGGA